GGAUGUGAGCGCGAUCUGGCUGCAACAUCUGUCACCCCAUUGAUCACCAGGGUUGAUUCGGCUGAUCUGGCUGGCUAGGCAAGUGUCCCCUUCCUCCCUCACCACUCCAUGUGUGUCCCUCUCAAAGCUAUGCACUCGUCAAAGAGGAUGACCAGUCCUGAUAGAGGAGAACUGGUCUUUGGCCAAGGUUAUAUGAGCAGCUGCGCUCCCCCGCUAGAACCUCCAAACAAAAAAUGUACGUAAAACAUAACAAAGCAAAACAUGGAAUAGUGUUGGCAGCAUGUAAGCAUUACAGUAUCAGCUACUAGAAGACUAAUCU
rnacentral:snRNA from 10 species